AUGCACAGGGGCAGCUGGCGGCUGCCUGGCUCCAACCCGGCCCCAGCGCUGUCACACAGCCGUCACACGAAGGCUUCGCGGUGCCGCACGGGAGCUACGGCCACUCUUCUUCCCCAAGGGCACCGAUGUCGUUCGGCGGAUGCGUGGGGCCGGCAGCGGCACGGGGGACACCGGCCCCAGCGGUGCCGCCUGCAGCACCCGUCCCCUCCACCGCCGGGGUGCCACAGGGGUGCUGGGUGCCGCCGCGACGCGCCCACUCGCCCACGGGGCGUUGCUCUCCACGAUGAGCCGGAGGAGGCCUGCCCCAGGGAAGUCCAUGAUGACCACCCCCCAGCGCACCGCCUGCCCCGACCGGCGCCGCAGGUGCCGGUAGCAGCGGGGGUUGACGAAGCGGGCCACCUCCUCGGGGCAGGUGAAGAGCCCGUUGCCCGAGCAGAAGGUGAGGUGCAUCUUGGUGGGGUCCCCGCUGGCCGCCGCCUCCAGGUGCCGCCGCGCUCGGGCCCAUUUCCUCUCCAGGGAGAGCACGUUCCAGGCGUCACUGAUGCUCAGCUGCUCGUAGGGGAUGCCCAGCACCGCCUGCUCCAGCGCCUCCAGCACCACGAUCUUGCCCCGAACCUGGCCCAGCGUGGGCACCUCCUCGCGGCACCACAGGCGGCCCCGUCCCUCCUCCAGCAAGCAGCGCUGGAGCCGGGCGGCGAAGCCGGGCCGGGAGAAGAAGGGCAGCUCCUCCUUGAUGCGCAUGAGCACGGCCUCGCCGGGGUGGGCGCGGAGGAAGCGCAGGGUGCGGCGCAGGACGCCCCGCAGGCUGGCCCGCUGGAAGGUGCAGAGGUGGUAGACGCGGAGCUCGCCCCGCUCCAGCUUGCAGCGCACGUCCAAGAAGCGCACGCCGGCUGCCAGCUGGGCCUCCAGGCCCCAGCUCUGGCACCGCAGGCGCCGGCCGCCGAACAGGCUGAGGGAGUCGUGCGUGCCAGGGAUGGAGAGGCGGGAGAGGGGCAGGGCGUCGGGCAGCCCCGCCAUCCAGUCGGGGCAGCAGGCUGCCGGCUGGGGCGUGCAGUCGAAUGCAGCGCUGUGCCGGCACCACGCAUCCAUGCCGCGGGGAGCACGGGUGCCCCGGCACCAGGCCAGCACCACCGAGACCUACCUGGAGGAGAAGCAGCACCGUGA
rnacentral:lncRNA from 1 species